CUAUCCCGAGUGCCAUCCGCUGAGGAAGGCUUUUACCCAGUCUAGAACGCUGGGGGAAUAAGGAGAGGGCAAGUCUGGUGUCAGCCGCCGCGGUAAUACCAGCUCUCCGAGUGGUGUGGAUGUUUAUUGGGCCUAAAGCAUCCGUAGCUGGCUAAGUUAGUCCCUUGUUAAAUCCACCGAAUUAAUCGUUGGAUUGCGGGGGAUACUGCUUGGCUAGGGGACGAGAGAGGCAGACGGUAUUUUCGGGGUAGGGGUGAAAUCCUAUAAUCCCGGGAAGACCACCAGUGGCGAAGGCUGUCUGCUAAAACGCGCCCGACGGUGAGGGAUGAAAGCUGGGGGAGCGAACCGGAUUAUAUACCCGGGUAGUCCCAGCUGUAAACGAUGCAGGCUAGGUGUUUGGACGGCCACGUGCCGUUCUAGUGCCGCAGGGAAGCUGUUAAGCCUGCCGCCUGGGGAGUACGAUCGCAAGAUUGAAACUUAA
rnacentral:rRNA from 1 species